AACGAACGCUGGCGGCCUGCCUAUCACAUGCAAGUCGAACGAGACCUUCGGGUCUAGUGGCGCACGGGUGCGUAACGCGUGGGAACCUGCCCUUAGGUUCGGAAUAACUCCCCGAAAGGGGUGCUAAUACCGGAUAAUGUCUUCGGACCAAAGAUUUAUCGCCUUUGGAUGGGCCCGCGUUGGAUUAGCUAGUUGGUAGGGUAAAAGCCUACCAAGGCGACGAUCCAUAGCUGGUCUGAGAGGAUGAUCAGCCACACUGGGACUGAGACACGGCCCAGACUCCUACGGGAGGCAGCAGUGGGGAAUAUUGGACAAUGGGCGAAAGCCUGAUCCAGCAAUGCCGCGUGAGUGAUGAAGGCCUUAGGGUUGUAAAGCUCUUUUACCCGGGAUGAUAAUGACAGUACCGGGAGAAUAAGCUCCGGCUAACUCCGUG
rnacentral:rRNA from 1 species